UGCAGUCGAGCGGACAGAUGGGAGCUUGCUCCCUGAUGUUAGCGGCGGACGGGUGAGUAACACGUGGGUAACCUGCCUGUAAGACUGGGAUAACUCCGGGAAACCGGGGCUAAUACCGGAUGGUUGUUUGAACCGCAUGGUUCAAACAUAAAAGGUGGCUUCGGCUACCACUUACAGAUGGACCCGCGGCGCAUUAGCUAGUUGGUGAGGUAACGGCUCACCAAGGCAACGAUGCGUAGCCGACCUGAGAGGGUGAUCGGCCACACUGGGACUGAGACACGGCCCAGACUCCUACGGGAGGCAGCAGUAGGGAAUCUUCCGCAAUGGACGAAAGUCUGACGGAGCAACGCCGCGUGAGUGAUGAAGGUUUUCGGAUCGUAAAGCUCUGUUGUUAGGGAAGAACAAGUACCGUUCGAAUAGGGCGGUACCUUGACGGUACCUAACCAGAAAGCCACGGCUAACUACGUGCCAGCAGCCGCGGUAAUACGUAGGUGGCAAGCGUUGUCCGGAAUUAUUGGGCGUAAAGGGCUCGCAGGCGGUUUCUUAAGUCUGAUGUGAAAGCCCCCGGCUCAACCGGGGAGGGUCAUUGGAAACUGGGGAACUUGAGUGCAGAAGAGGAGAGUGGAAUUCCACGUGUAGCGGUGAAAUGCGUAGAGAUGUGGAGGAACACCAGUGGCGAAGGCGACUCUCUGGUCUGUAACUGACGCUGAGGAGCGAAAGCGUGGGGAGCGAACAGGAUUAGAUACCCUGGUAGUCCACGCCGUAAACGA
rnacentral:rRNA from 1 species